AUAAGUUGAAUGGGUUAAAACCUAAGUUCCGCCGAAAGGUUGUUCUCCUUCGUGUUUUCUCCCAACGCACGAUGACAACCUUCUCCAGGUUUCCGUCGAAAGGUUUUUCUCCUUCGCAUUUUCUCCUCGACGCACAAUGGAAGCCUUCUCCUUCGCGUGCCACCUCGGACAACAGCCUUCUCCUCCAUGUUUUCCCCUAGAUGACAGUCUUCUCAUUUUUCCUCGAUGCAAAGCCUUCGCGUUGAGAUGCUUCACUUCCUCUUCUCUCUGCACGCUAGGUUUCUUCCCUCUCCACCCCCUUCUUUCCUUUCCUCUCUACUUCACCGCCACUUAACUUGAAUCACUGCUACCUGAGGAACCUGCCUCUUUCUACCCCCAUCCCCUUGGAGCAUUGAAUUCGAGGGUUUUCAUUGGUUAUUCCAUUUACAAAGGGAAGACAACACUCACAGUGGAUCCACGAGCCCCUGAAUUCACCCCUCUUGAAUUUGGAGCUUACUAUGUCUCUAAGGAAGGAUUUACUCUCCUCCAAUUUGCUCCUGUUGUAGGUACUCAACAAUAUGAUUGGAGCAGAAAGCAAGUAUUCCAAAUUGUUUUUUUAUCCUUCUCUAUGUGUGAUUGUAAUGUCAUGACUCUUAGAUAAUUGCAAUCCUUCCCUUCUUAUCACAAGUCGUGCAAAAAAUGAAUUAAAAAGGCUUUUCUAUUAUCUUUCUAAUGAUACUAGCCACUAACUAGAGCCUCAGUUAGACUGUUAUGACCCAUUGGAGCUAUUCAUUUAAUUUUAUAUAAAAAAUAAAAAGUUGUCAUUAACAAUGCUGAAAUUUGAGCCUUUGACCUCAUUAUAAGCAAAAUAAGUCCUUUACAAACAUAGAAACUUGAUACAUAUGACACAGUGAUGUGUGAAACCAUCCCUGGUAAAAGAAUGGUUAUGUGCAACAUGGGUAUGUAAAAAUCAUAGUUCAUGUUAUUUCUUCUAAGUUUUGCACAUGGUUAGUGAAGAACCAUGUAUUGAUGAAUCAGAAUUCUAGACAAUUUUAUGGCACAUUGGUGUCCAAAAGUCCUAAUGUUCAUAGAGAAAUAUAAUGAGACAUCACUAGUUUCAUUCAUAUAGUUUUCUAUUAGUUUUGAUACUUGGAGAGUGUAAAAUUAUAUUUUGUCAUAACAUAGUUUCUAUGGUGUUCAAACAUUCUAAAUUUUAGAGAUAUAAUGGAACAAUAUCAUUUGACAAAAUAUGGUUCUGCACUUUGAAAUGUCAAAACUCAAACAAAACAACAUGAGUGAAACUAAUGACAAGAGAGUGACUCUGUUUAGACUUUUGGUGGCUUCCAAUGGACACUACUCCAUUGAAGCCUGAUGGUUGAUAAGACUCCAACCAACACCUUGUAGAGUCCAACGACGGGGUAUGGAUAUCUUUAUAAGAAAAAAUUGCAAAAGGUCUUCUAUAAGGCAUUUUGCACAAUUGAGACAUUUAUAAGGCUUUUUGAAUUAAAAGGAACCUUUCUAGGACUUUUUACAAUUAUGUUUUGAGUCCAAUAGGACUUUGCUAUUUUUUUAAAAAAAAUCAUAUUAAAUUAACCCGUGUUGAAAUUUAGUUGAAUGAUUUUGGGAGAUUGAUCCUUCAUUAUUGAAUUAAUGAUAAAAUUAAGCUUGUAUGCUACAAAUAUCAUAGCCAAUGAUGCUCCAUUAUGAUUAUUGCUGGCAUGCUUUGUUCAUAUAAUUAGUUGGUCAAUGCACAAUUAGUUUGUUCAUACAACUUAUUGAAUCCUUAAUUUCAAACAUGUUUUCGUCCCUUCUGCUGGCAAGUUCCAUGUUCUCUUUGGCAUCUUUGUUUGCUUUCUUAAGGUAUUUUAUACAAACAUAUGUCAAUUUUUUUUUUCAUUAUUGAUGCAGGUCAUUUCUUUGUCCAUACCUGAAAUUAGUCAUCUAAUGAGUUUCAGUGCAAAGGAUUCUUGUGAAUUUUUUCAUGAUCCAUUCAAGGGAAGAAAGUGAUAUUUUGAACCUUGAUCAGAAAUUUGUUCUAUGCAUCAAAAUCAUUGUGUAGUUUAUCUUGGUUCUUGAAUAGGGAUGUGAUAACAGUUCUAAAAUUUUUUUUUAGUUUUUUAACAUCGUUUUAUGUGUCUAGUUAUAUAUGAUUUUCUCUAAUGCGCAACUUUAUUUGAUCAAACAAUAUUUGUUAGUUAGCGUAUCUUCAUAUUCAUGCACUUGCAUAUUCCACUAAUUAGUUUCUUGAUAUUUAUGAGUGUAGGUAACGAUAUCCUAGCUUAACAUCAUAAUUCAUAAGAAUCUAUAAGACUACUCCAGCUGUAACUCAUUCAGGGUCUUUGCUUAAGUGCAACCUUUAUUAUUAUUAUUUUACAGCAAGGAAGGCAAGAUAAGGAAGAUUUUAAAGGUUGAACCUCUUCCAGAUGGCAUCGGAUAUUUCUUUAAUCUAAAUAAUUCAUUAGUUUCUUACAUUUUGAAUUUAAACAGGAUUUUUUUUUCCAUAUGAUGUAAACUGUCAAGCCUCGAUAGUUACUCUUUGAAUACCCGUGUUUCUCAUUUCUUAUUAACACAAGAAAUGUUCAUCUAUUAAAUCCUAUAUGCAAUCUAUUUGUGUUAUUCAAGCUUACGGACGUACAUCAGAUAAAUGUUCUUUGGUUUGUGCCUUUGAAGCCUCAAACUAGUAACUAGUCUUGCCUAUAUGAAAACAUCCAUAAAAUUUGCAUGAAACAAUUUUGUUAUUUUUUUGUUUUAGUUCAUCCCAUUUCUUUGGAUCAAAUUAUUCCAUUCAUUCAUAAUUUUUUAUAAUUCAGGGUCUUUGCUUAAGUGCAACCUUUAUUAUUAUUAUUUUACAGCAAGGAAGGCAAGAUAAGGAAGAUUUUAAAGGGUAAUAUAAAAUAAAAUGGUGAUGUUGAAUGUGGAUAUUAUGUAAUGCGAUACAUGAAAAAGAUAGUCUUGGAUGAAUAUCCACAAUUGGAGAUGAAGUUUGCAAUAUCAAAAAAUAAACAGUAUUACAAUCAAUCUCAGUAUGAUGAAGUUAGAAGUGAAUGGAGCAAAUUCGUCUACUUCUUUAUAGGUGCUUAAGUGUAGGUUAUGAUAUAAAUUUUGGAUUGUAUUUAGAUAUUUAUGGAUUAAAAACUUUUGGGUUAUGGUUAAACAUGUCUUUUAUGAAUACACUGGGAUUGUAUUUAAUACAAAUUUGUGAUAUAUUUGUUCAA